GUUGCAUGGUCCAGCUGAUGCCAGCAAUGCUUUUCACAGGGUGACGAUGCAGUGUACAUAUCCUCUGGCUGGACUGUUGCGUCUCUUUUUUGUAUAUAGGUUUGAGUCUGAAACAGCUGGUGUUGGUCAUAUUGUGCAUUCUGCACACUCCAGUGAAGGUCUACUGAGUCCCACCAUCAAGCCAACAACCAUGCUUCAAACACCAUUGUCCCGUGAAAGACAUGUUUCAAUUCAACCUGCUUACCGGCCUUCUGCUCAGUAUAUCAAA